rnacentral:lncRNA from 1 species
UCCAACUUCACUAAAUAACUCUGAGCCUCAACAACGACUGAUUACAAAACUCUUGUAACCAACAAAUAGGAAUCAUAAACUCUGAUCCCUAUAUCUCAACAACUAGGAAUUAUAAACUCUAAUUCAUUUAACUCAAUGACUAGGAAUUAUAAACUCUAAUUCCUAACUACACACACACCUCCCAAGGUAUGCGUUCCCAAAGUCUUUGAGUUUUUCCCAACUCGAAGACUAUCUCCUAAUUCAGUUUAUAACACACUGAAACUAAUAUUACACCAAUAGUUCAAACACAAUGAACAACUCUAAAAAUCGAAGCUAAAACUCUUAGCUGGAUUCUAUACUUAGGACCUGGUUCUUCAAUGUGUUUCUUCAGUGAUUGAAUAGCAUUUCGUGAAGUCAAUUUGUCGAUUGUGCUUUUC